AGAGUUUGAUCAUGGCUCAGAUUGAACGCUGGCGGUAGGCUUAACACAUGCAAGUCGUGCGAGAAAGUAUCUUCGGAUAUGAGUAGAGCGGCGGACGGGUGAGUAACGCGUAGGAAUCUACCUAGUAGAAGGGGAUAGCCCGGGGAAACCCGGAUUAAUACCGUAUACCUCCUUCGGGAGAAAGAAGGCCUCUCUUUGAAGCUUUCGCUACUAGAUGAGCCUGCGUAAGAUUAGCUUGUUGGUGAGGUAAAGGCUCACCAAGGCUACGAUCUUUAGCUGGUCUGAGAGGACGAUCAGCCACAUUGGGACUGAGACACGGCCCAGACUCCUACGGGAGGCAGCAGUGGGGAAUAUUGGACAAUGGGCGCAAGCCUGAUCCAGCCAUACCGCGUGUGUGAAGAAGGCCUUCGGGUUGUAAAGCACUUUAAGCAGGGAGAAAAAGUUAUAAGUUAAUACCUUAUAACCCUGAUGUUACCUGCAGAAUAAGCACCGGCUAAUUCCGUGCCAGCAGCCGCGGUAAUACGGAAGGUGCAAGCGUUAAUCGGAAUUACUGGGCGUAAAGCGCGCGUAGGUGGUUUGUUAAGUUGGAUGUGAAAGCCCUGGGCUCAACCUAGGAACUGCAUCCAAAACUAACUCACUAGAGUACGAUAGAGGGAGGUAGAAUUCAUAGUGUAGCGGUGGAAUGCGUAGAUAUUAUGAAGAAUACCAGUGGCG
rnacentral:rRNA from 1 species